GAACCAAGGUUCCACGCUGACUUCAUGAAAUAAAUUAUUGGAGUGGGAAGAAGAACACAUUGCAGAGGCUGAGUGGUCCAAAAAAAAAAAAGCUUCUCCAUUCUCCACACCAUCAAACACUGUGAUCACAACGGAGGACUUUACAAUCACCAUCUUUAUAGCUGGUUUAUGAUGCAAUGACUCUAUGUAUCAAUAUAAUUCUUUGCCAAGAGAAUUUGUAUGGUUCAAUUCUUGGGUGAAUAAAAACACUACCUGGUUUAAAAAUACGUAUAUUUCUACAGCAUGUUAUUUGCUGAACAAAGUUGGAUAUUCUUCUACGAGAAGCCAUCAUUUGAAACUUCCAUGACUGGUAGCUGGAUUGGAGGUUACGUAAUGUUUAGCAUGCCUGUCAACAGUUGGUGGUAAAAUCCACUUGACCAUAAACUACUGAGGGCAGAUGGAGAAUUGAUAUUUCUAACAAAAAUCUCUCCAAGGGCUGCCACUUGUGGAUACUCAGACAGUGCUCUGCCCAAAGGUGCACCAGCAGAGCAGGGAGAAAUAGGGAUCAAAAUCUUGCCAGGUAGUACUCAGUUGGAUCAAUCCACAAUGGAGCAUUUCUGCUAAUCUACUAAAACAUGUUAUGCAUUUCUGAGACGGGAACCUUACAGACCAUAUACAAGCAGAACCUUUCAUCUCAAACCACCCACAGCAGUGAUUCUUCAAAAUGGGACAAGUCCAAAAGGAUGCUGUGAUAUCUGUCAUACUUUCCUCUACUGGCAGCCCCUCCUCUUCUUGAACUGUGGGAAAGAGUACAGACUUUCAAGUGAAUAAGUAGAUCUGAUCUGAAUCACAACCACUUCUGCCACUCAGGGGAUGUGUCAUCUGGGCCACAGCAUUUAUCUUCUCUUGGCCACCUCAAGUUUGGAAUCUGAACUCUUCUGCAAAAAGAAGGGAACCUGAAAAAGCUGAUCUACUGGGAUGCAUAAAAUCUGCUUCAGGACUGAUGAAGUUGCAUUUCUGAACUAGUAUUAAAAGGGUGAGAGAGAUUUAUGUGAAACAACUGAAACAUUUCAGUGUCAAAAUACUCCCAAAUACAGAACAACAGAGUAGAUCUGUGUGCUCACUCUUGCAAGAAAGGAAGAAGGAGGAUCUGGAGGAAAUUGAACAAUAAAGCUUCCUAGCUGAAUCCAGUAAAUUUUCCCAACCUCUCCAGAAUAUGAAAAAAAAAAAUGUUGCUUUUCUGUUUUGGUAAUUUUUCACAGUUAUGAAAGAAUUGGUGAGAGCAGUUUAGGAGAUGCAAUGACACUGUAUAACAGAAGAAAAAUAAAAGG
rnacentral:lncRNA from 1 species